AGCUGCCUGGGGAUGAGCUCGCGUCAGAUUAGCUAGUUGGUGGGGUAAGAGCCUACCAAGGCAACGAUCUGUAGCUGGUCUGAGAGGAUGAUCAGCCACACUGGAACUGAGACACGGUCCAGACUCCUACGGGAGGCAGCAGUGGGGAAUUUUCCGCAAUGGGCGAAAGCCUGACGGAGCAAUACCGCGUGAGGGAGGAAGGCUCUUGGGUUGUAAACCUCUUUUCUCAGGGAAGAAAAAAAUGACGGUACCUGAGGAAUAAGCAUCGGCUAACUCCGUGCCAGCAGCCGCGGUAAUACGGAGGAUGCAAGCGUUAUCCGGAAUGAUUGGGCGUAAAGCGUCCGCAGGUGGUUUUGCAAGUCUGCUGUCAAAGCGUGCGGCUCAACCGCAUAAGGGCAGUGGAAACUGCGAGACUAGAGUACGUUCGGGGCAGAGGGAAUUCCUGGUGUAGCGGUGAAAUGCGUAGAGAUCAGGAAGAACACCG
rnacentral:rRNA from 1 species